UACGUAGGCAGCGAGCGUUGUUCGGAGUUACUGGGCGUAAAGCGUGCGUAGGCGGUGUCUUAAGUUUGUUGUGAAAUCUCCCGGCUUAACCGGGAGGGUGCGGCGAAUACUGAGAUGCUGGAGUGCCGGAGAGGUAAGCGGAAUUCCUGGUGUAGCGGUGAAAUGCGUAGAUAUCAGGAGGACACCUGCGGUGUAGACGGCUUUCUGGACCAUUGCUGACGCUGAGACACGAAAGCGUGGGUAGCAAACAGG
rnacentral:rRNA from 1 species